UCCCCCAGACCCCGGCUGUCCCCCGCGUCAUGGCAUAGGGCCGGCCGCUCCCGUCGCCGCUCCAGGGACUUUUCCUUUGUCUUUUCUGUGAGGAGCCACAUUCCUAAGGUUGAUUUCUCAGUCAACUUCAGAUGGAACAUUCUAGAAAAGAAGGAGGUUUCAUUUGGAUUUUAUAUUUUUUGCAGCUUUCUCAGCAUCCUGGGUCCCUUCUGUGAUAUGAGCCCAUCUCCUGGCAGGAUUUUUUUCCUGACUGAAAUGUGGCAGAUUUUCCCUCCUCUCUGGGGUCAGCUCUUUACCCCUCAGCUGCCCUGGUGCCUCCAAGACUUUCCUGGAUGGACAUGGAGGGUACCAAGUAGAGCUGAGAGAUGUCCACGGGCCAGGGGGCAAGUCCUGGGAAGAAGGAUGGCCCUGGUCUAGCAGGGUAAUCAGACCCUUCUGCACAUGGAGACGUCGAAGACUUCGCCCAGCACGUGCACGCGCAGAAAGUCUCGGAGGGAGGUGACUUCACUGCUGUGGGGCAGACCUCCCGCCACCCCCAACAAUUCCUUCAGGCUUUGGGAAACUCAAGCCUGCACAGAGGUCUGUUGCAAACAGGUUUUCUGGAGAAAGCGAGGAAAGGGGCCGGGUUCUGGGUUUGGGUUGAUCUGGAGUGGAGAUAAAGGAAGAGCCGUGAACCCAGCACUGCCCAGGAAAAACAGUAUGUUCGCCACAGAUGUAAUUUUACAUUUCAGCCAUAUUAAGGCAAUAAAAAGAAACAAGCGAAGUUAAUUUUAAUAUGUUUUAUUUAACCCAGUAUACCCCAAAAUAUCAUUUCACUGGCCAGCUGACCGACACCGGGAAGCAUGGGCAUUUCAGCCUCCACCCCCCAACCUAGAGGCGGAGCAUGAACCCUUCACAGGGCACAGAAUGUAAAUGGAGCUUAUUUAAGCUGGACCUGGGGGAGGGGGGUGAGGGGACCUCACGGGCCUCUCUGGUUUGGCUGCGCUCACAGGAGGCUUCAUGGGUAAUAAUGUCUCCUUUUUGGGGAGCGGCCAGAUGCCGGGCAUUUGCCUGGGGUUCACAAAUUCUCCCAACAGCCCUAGGCAAUUACGAUUAAUGUCUUAUGAGCAAACGAACUGUCAGAGCCACGAUUCGAGUUCUGCUCGCUCUGAGCCCAAACCCACGCUGUAAAUGCUGUGUGUGUGUGUGUGUGUGUGUGCAGAACUGGGGAGACACAGGCCCUGUGAGGACUAAGGCCAGCUGUAGGUAGGGCCCUGUGUUCCCCUCCGGCAGACAUCCUCCUCCCGGACUGAGGGGAUGUCUACAGUCAGGCCACGAUGAGGCCCUGUUGAGGGUGACGGCAGAGGCCCCACGCACUGGGUCCCGGAGCAGUGGUGGCCGUGGGACCGGAGGAGCUGAGGGUGAAAAGCAGGGCAUGGGGCCACAUCUCAGGGUGGUGGGGGCUGGGGGGCCACGGUAGCUGGUCUUCCGUGACUGUGGAGGGUUGGGUGUGACUGCAGGAGGAGCCCGCCCUUCGGGGAGGACAGAGGUGCUGAGUACAGCCGUGCCUUUCUCACGUGCUGCCAGGGGCCCUCGGGUGCACGCGUGCGCGUGUGCCCAGGCACGGCUCGGCGUCCUCUGCAGUCACGCCAUCCUUCCAGCUACUGUCUGGGCCACUUCCUCCCAGGCUGGCGGCCAGGCUCCCGUGUGCUCCUCAGAGCCAAGAUCUCAAGGCAAAGAUGGGCAGCAGAGGGAAGCAAGGGGCCGGGAAGACUCCCAGCUCUGGCUGCUCCCGGGCAGGAGCAGGAGCGCAGAGACCUGGAGAGGGCAGACCCUUCCUGGAGGGGGCAAGGAUGGAGGAGGGGCACCCUGGAGAGCAGGCUGGUGGCUCAGAGCCUCCAGCACAGGCCGACUCCGUGCAACUCCAGGUCUCCAGGUUUCGGCCAGAUGAGGGGCCUCGAGGCAAAAGAGGAAAUGAAGAAACAGAGACACAGUCCCGUUAGAGGCCCCAUGUGGGUGGGGGGUGGCCACCCCAACAGGCACUCAGUCCAAAACGUCUACCGAGCACCUGCCCUGUGCCAGCACUGAGCCUCUGCCCGCCUCCACAGAUGCUUAUGGGACAACUAACUAACUAACUAACUAGGGGGUAUGGGAUGCCCAGCAGGCAGGGCAAUGUGAAUGUAAUGGUAGAAGCACUAGCAUUGGCCUUGCCUACGCCCAUGGCCCAGAGAAGAGGAACAGCUUCCUUAAGAGUUCUGAGCACACCCAGACCUGGGCACCCCUUCAGGACAUCUUUCCUGA